rnacentral:rRNA from 1 species
CCCUUAGAUGUUCUGGGCCGCACGCGUGCUACACUGAUACGAUCAACGAGUACACCCGCUUGUCCGGUAGGACUGGCUAAUCUUUUCAAAUCGUAUCGUGAUGGGGAUAGAUGAUUGCAAUUAUUCAUCUUAAACGAGGAAUUCCUAGUAAGCGCAAGUCAUCAGCUUGCGUUGAUUACGUCCCUGCCCCUUGUACGCACCGCCCGUCGCUCCUACCGAUUGAAUGGUUCGGUGAGAUCUUGGGAUUGUGCUGCUUUGGCGCUUGCGCCGGGCAGCGCGAGAACUUGACCAAACCUCAUCAUUUAGAGGAAGGAGAAGUCGUAACA